UACGAGUACCUCAGGUGAGGGAGAACGACUCAGCUGUAGAGAUACUGUAAUGUACGGCCUCUACGAGUACCUCAGGUGAGGGAGAACGACUCAGCUGUAGAGAUACUGUAAUGUACGGCCUCUACGAGUACCUCAGGUGAGGGAGAACGACUCAGCUGUAGAGAUACUGUAAUGUACGGCCUCUACGAGUACCUCAGGUGAGGGAGAACGACUCAGCUGUAGAGAUACUGUAAUGUACGGCCUCUACGAGUACCUCAGGUGAGGGAGAACGACUCAGCUGUAGAGAUACUGUAACAUAUAAUAUUCUCUUCUAACUCUGGGGUCACAUUGCUGG